CUUUUCUUUUUAGAGAGAGCAAGAGGGGAAGGAGCAAAGGGAGAGGAAGAGAAAACCAAGCAGACUCCAUGCUGAUAGUGGAGCCAACAGGGGGCUUGAUCCCAAGACCCUGAGAACAUGACCUGAGCUGAAACCAAGAGCUGGAUGCUUAACUGACUGAGCCACCCAGGCACUGUCCUAAAUUCCUGCCUAUGAGAUGCUUGUACUUCCUGUGUUUGGCAAGAGGGAAGGAGGAAUGAGAGGACCUGACCAACAAGUAAACAGAUGGUAUUAAUCUAGCAAGCAUCUUAACUGAAAUACUGACAGACAUAAGCCUUGGCCAGACUUUCUCACAGAAGACUCCAAGUGGACACACAUAGAAGUGGACACACACAGAAGACUCCAAGCAUUUGCAGAGUAAGAGCCACCAUGGACUGAGGACCCCGCUGUUAAAAAGAACUUACAGUCCAGAACCCAAACAGUAGGUCUGGCUGAUGAAGCUCAUUAGGUAGCAGAGUACCGUCUUACACAGCAGUAUAAGCUGUUUUGUGUACUGACAUAUCUGCAGGCUUAAAAUUUUGUAUUUCUCUCACUUGAUGGAUAUUUCACUCUGUUGGGCUACCCUGGCCACCAAACUUUGGACAUGCCUCCGUAAUGUUCACAGGCAGCAACAGGGAGCCAAGUUCAGCUACCUGCAGCCUUAUUACAUGUGUAUCCUUUGCAUUGCUACUCUGCUUAUCAGCUGCUUUAGGAGGAAAUCAAAGUAAAAGCAAUUUUUUCCCCAAACUACGUGUGAAUGAUUAUUUCACCCAUUCACAAACCUGACUUAGACUGUUGAUCUAGCAUUGCUCAGUAAGCCUUUAAUUUUAGUCAGUAUUUACUGACUCUAUCCUGUAAAAUGAGAAAAUCAGCACACCUAGGUUUUCCUCUCCUUUUUGGGGUAGCCCUUAAUCACUUACUACCUGCACU